rnacentral:tRNA from 1 species
GUUUUAAUAAUUUAAUAAAAAUAAUGAUUUUGUAAAUCAAAAUUAAGGAUAAACCUUUUAAUUCA